CAUCUGUUUCCUGAGAGCCUACUAUGCAUCAGGCAGUUUGAUGGGGCUAUCGAGAUGGACAAGGCAAUGUCUCAGAGAGGGAAUCAGAAUUGUAAAUACUGCCAUUGCGAGAGCAGCCUAUCGUGGAGAGCGCAUAUACGAACUACAAAACCCAGCCUGCUCUGCGCCUACCAAUAGAAAUGCGGCAGGUGCAGGUGGCCGCACUGCAUUCUGGAGCCUGCAGUCUCCCGAGGAUUCCAUUGUGCCUACAAUUUUGUAAGGGUACUAAUAAAAAAGAGGUGUGUA